GGUAGUCCAUUUGAAGCCUUGAUCGGAUCGUCCUUUUCGAAAGUGCUAGCUCACACAGAAGGCAUAGAUGGCUGGAAUAAGCUCCUUCCUUUGGAUCACUCAGACUCUUUCAAAUUAGAGGAUGGAGCUACAUGAGGAGGUGGUGGUGUGGGAGAUUUGGAACAUGACACUCUUGUUUUUCUUCUCACACAAAAAUAUAGCUGAAAUCUUAAAACCCAUCCUGGACCUCACGCCCUAAAAGGAAGGACUCUUCCUCUAUUUCUCAUGCACAGAAGCCCGCCCCCUCUCAGUAUCAUACCCCCUCUCUCUCAGAAGAGAUUUCUCAUGAUAAAAUUCAAACUGUUUUGUCACACAAAAUGAGAAGGAAUUUAAGGUGGCAUGA
rnacentral:lncRNA from 1 species